CAGCCGCCGCGGUAAUACCGGCGGCCCGAGUGGCGGCCACUAUUAUUGGGCCUAAAGCGUCCGUAGCCGGGCUGGUAAGUCCCCCGGGAAAUCUGGCGGCUUAACCGUCAGAAUUCCGGGGGAUACUGCCAGCCUAGGGACCGGGAGAGGCCGGGGGUAUUCCCGGGGUAGGGGUGAAAUCCUGUAAUCCCGGGAGGACCACCUGUGGCGAAGGCGCCCGGCUGGAACGGGUCCGACGGUGAGGGACGAAGGCCAGGGGAGCGAACCGGAUUAGAUACCCGGGUAGUCUUGGCUGUAAACGAUGCGGACUAGGUGUGGGGGGUUAAUCCCUCCGUGCCGAAGCUAACGCAUUAAGUGCCCCGCCUGGGGAGUACGGCCGCAAGGUUGAAACUUAAAGGAAUUGGCGGG
rnacentral:rRNA from 1 species